rnacentral:rRNA from 1 species
UACGAAGGGGGCUAGCGUUGUCCGGAUUUAUUGGGCGUAAAGAGCUCGUAGGCGGCUUGUCGCGUCGACCGUGAAAACUUGGGGCUCAACCCUAAGCCUGCGGUCGAUACGGGCAGGCUCGAGUUCGGUAGGGGAGACUGGAAUUCCUGGUGUAGCGGUGAAAUGCGCAGAUAUCAGGAGGAACACCGGUGGCGAAGGCGGGUCUCUGGACAGUUCCUGACACUGAGGCACGAAGGCCAGGGGAGCAAACGGG